GGGAUUAGAUACCCCACUAUGCACAGCCGUAAAAUUUGAUAGAAACAUUACACCCACUAUCCGCCAGGGUAUUACGAGCUUUAGCUUAAAACCCAAAGGACUUGGCGGUGCUUUACACCCACCUAGAGGAGCCUGUCCUAGAACCGAUAACCCCCGUUCAACCUCACCCUCCCUUGUUCAUUCCGCCUAUAUACCGCCGUCGUCAGCUCACCCCAUGAAGGACCCGCAGUAAGCAAAGUCAGUAUAACUUAAAACGCCAGGUCGAGGUGUAGCGCAUGAGAGGGGAAGAGAUGGGCUACAUUCCCUAAACAAGGGCAUACGGAAAAUACAAUGAAAUACGUAUUAGAAGGAGGAUUUAGCAGUAAGCAGAAAACAGAGUGUUCUACUGAAGCCGGCCCUGAAGCACGCACACACCGCCCGUCACCCUCAA
rnacentral:rRNA from 1 species